rnacentral:lncRNA from 1 species
UGAUUUAUUUUGUUAUAUCAAGCACCUUGAUAUGCAGGAGAGUAAAAGAACAGGUGCAAAUUUCUGUUUGUAAAACUGAAGUUGUGAAGUUCGGUUUUGGAAUAAAGCCUGAAAACCCUUGAGCAAUCAUCAAUCCAGUUUUCUCAAAAAAAAUCAGUAUUAUCCUUUGCUACUACGUGGGCCGUUUGGGUGAGUUUAAAAUAAAUGCUUAUUGCUUAAAAUGAAAAAGUGAAGUAAAAGUUAGAAGCAAGUUAAGACUUAUAAGUGAUAAAAGUGUUUGGGAAAUAAGUAGAAGCCGUGAGACAAAAGCUAGUAAUCGUAGCUUUUUUUAAAGUACUCCUUGACUUCUUACACAAACGGUACAAAUAAGUGCUUCUAACUUAUAAUUCAGAAGCCGGGCUUAUAAGUCCGUGCCAAACACCCACGUACGUGUGGAAUCCUGUAGACUUUAUUAGAAGAACUUAGCAAUAUCUAGAUUUAUAUAUCCUUAACUGCCAAGUAUUGACUAAUUUUUUUUAUUUCACUACGUUUUGGAUACUGGUCAUACUGGUGGAAGUUUUGGAAUAUUAAGUGUUGGUGGUUCAGGUAUCCUCAUUUCAAUAUUAAAGUUUGGUGGUUGAACCAACCUCAACUAAAUGUGAUUGUGAUAAGGUCAGUUAGUAGUAGACUGAAAACCAUUGUUGUAUUCUAAACUGGAGGGCUGUAGUGGCCAUUUACUUGGUAGUGGUAUAUUAAUUUUGUAGCCCUGGCCUUCAAUCAAAGCUGCUUUCAGAGUGAUGGCUUUGAUACUUAUAACUAUAUACACUUGUUAGUUACGUAAGAAGCUGGUACAUGG